rnacentral:rRNA from 1 species
UACAGAGGGGGCAAGCGUUGUUCGGAAUUACUGGGCGUAAAGGGCGCGUAGGCGGCCGCCUAAGUCAGACGUGAAAUCCCUCGGCUCAACCGGGGAACUGCGUCUGAUACUGGGUGGCUUGAAUUCGGGAGAGGGAUGCGGAAUUCCUGGUGUAGCAGUGAAAUGCGUAGAUAUCAGGAGGAAUACCGAUGGCGAAGGCAGGUCUCUGGGCUGACACUGACGCUCAUGCACGAAAGCGUGGGGAGCAAACAGG